GGGGCUCGUGUGAGGCUCUGGGUCACCUCCCACCCGUGUUUAUCGUACCUUGUUGCUUCGGCGGGCCCGCCUCACGGCCGCCGGGGGGCAUCCGCCCCCGGGCCCGCGCCCGCCGAAGACACACAAACGAACUCUUGUCUGAAGAUUGCAGUCUGAGUACUUGACUAAAUCAGUUAAAACUUUCAACAACGGAUCUCUUGGUUCCGGCAUCGAUGAAGAACGCAGCGAAAUGCGAUAAGUAAUGUGAAUUGCAGAAUUCAGUGAAUCAUCGAGUCUUUGAACGCACAUUGCGCCCCCUGGUAUUCCGGGGGGCAUGCCUGUCCGAGCGUCAUUGCUGCCCUCAAGCACGGCUUGUGUGUUGGGCUCUCGCCCCCCGCUUCCGGGGGGCGGGCCCGAAAGGCAGCGGCGGCACCGCGUCCGGUCCUCGAGCGUAUGGGGCUUCGUCACCCGCUCUGUAGGCCCGGCCGGCGCCCGCCGGCGAACACCAUCAAUCUUAACCAGGUUGACCUCGGAUCAGGUAGGGAUACCCGCUGAACUUAAGCAUAUCAAUAAGCGGAGGAA
rnacentral:rRNA from 1 species